rnacentral:lncRNA from 1 species
CAGAGCGUGGUCCUGGAAUCCUGGGAUCAAGUCCCACAUUGGGAUUCCUGCAUGGAGCCUGCUUCUCUCUCUGCCUGUCUCUGCCUCUCUCUGUGCGUCUCUCACUAAUAAAUAAAUAAAAUCUUAAAAACAAAAAAACAAAAAUCAUGUAUGUGCCCAAUAUGGCCAUCAAUUUUUUUUUCUUAAUUUCUAUUACUUUUGUCCUAUUUUAAUAUUGUUCUUGAUGGUGAUAACAUUAGCUAUAUUAUAUAUUAAUCACUAUAUUCAUUUUAAAAUGGCUAUACUUUAAUACACUAAUCAGUAUCUUGUGUAUAAUAUUGCCCAAAUAUUAAUAUUAAUAUUAAUAUCAAUACAAGUUAGAAAAGUCUUUAAAAGCAAAAUGGAAAGCCACAAUUGGAAAAUAAGUGAUUUAUCUGAAUAAUUAUGGAAUAUAAGCCUAUCAACUCCACAUACAAGGUUUCCCUUAUUGGCAUUUACCAUCUAAAAUAAAUGACAGUACAUAUUUUUUCCUGUAAUUUAUAUCACUUAGUGCAUUAUCUGAAUAUCAAUUUAACAUGAUUCUUUUUUUUUUAAUUUUUAUUUAUUUAUGAUAGUCACAGAGAGAGAGAGAGAAAGAGAGAGGCAGAGGGAGAAGCAGGCUCCAUGCACCGGGAGCCCGACGUGGGAUUCGAUCCAGGGUCUCCAGGAUCGCGCCCUGGGCCAAAGGCAGGCGCCAAACUGCUGCGCCACCCAGGGAUCCCUCUGAAUAUCAAUUUAAUUAAAAUCAUUGAAGGGUGCCUGGCUGGCUCAGUUGGUAGAACAUUGAAUAUUUGAUCUUGGGGUUUCAAGUUCAAACCCCAUGUUGAGCAUAGAGAUUACUUUAAAAGAAUUAGAAUUUUAAAAUAAAGAAAUCCUUUAAAAAUAUGUUAACAGGGUAUUUAUAAUUUCACAUUGGUGUCUUCAACUUUUCUUGCAUAACUUUCUAACUAAUUUUCUAACUUUAAUAUAAUUUUGCUUGUUUAUCUUCUGUUUUGCAUCUGUUGGCAACAGUAGUAUUAAAAUACACUGUAUUUGACACUGUCACACAGAAAUUCACUUGUCUUUAAUGUUUAGCCAAUAUCUCACUGGAAAUUUCUAAUGCAAUUUAUUAUCAGAUGCUCUCCUAAAUAUGAUCAUCUCUUCCUAGCCAUUUUCCAAACUUCCAGGUUCUUCAGAUUUCCAAACUAUCAAACAGAUAACAUAUAUAUUUUUUUUUUUUCCUGAGCCAUGGUAUGGGAGUAUUUAGUGUUCCUACACUGGAUAAAACAGACGAGCAUGCAAGCCUUGGCUUCUAUGUUAUUGAUGCUUCAUCAAAUACAUAAAAUAUAUAAACCUCUGAUUUCUGGUCUACAAGAUACACUGAUUACCCCUGCUUCAUAAGAGCUUAUAACAAAUUAAAUAAUAUGAUACAUAAGGUAGUUGAUAAACUAUUUGACACAAGAAUUAAUUUCUUGGUAGUUAUAGUUGUCAGAACAUUAUUUUUAAAUAUUUUAUUUAUUUAUUUGAGAGACUGAGAGAGAGUAUAAGCAGAGGAAGGGAUAGAGGGAGAGGGAGAAGCAGGCUCCAACAGGGAGCACGGCACAGCGGCUCGGUCCUAGGACCCUGGGAUCAUGACCUGAGCCUAAGACAGACACAACUGACUGAGACACCAGGCACCCCUGUUCUCAGAAUAUUUCUAUAGGACUGCAGUUUCUUUGGCUCUCAAGUAUUAAUCUAAAAUCAAAUUCUAAGGGCUUCCAACAUUUAAAUCAAACCUAUAUAUUUACAUUUUAAAUAAUAAUAAUUUUGUUCAAGCACCUGUAUGCUAGAAAAAUUAAACCAUGUGUCAUUUUUAGAAUAGAACUCAAGCACUGGUGCUUUGGUGCAUCCAUCAUUUAAAAUGAUUAAAAUCUUAGCUUAUCUUCAUAAAAUUAAAAAUAAAAUGUUUGGCUUUAAGCUUCAGUGACAAUGUCAAUCAAAUUAAUCAUUUCAUCUCUGUUCUACAAUCUUUGUUCUGUAUCUCUUAUAUUUAGAAAAUCUGUAUUAUGUAACAUGCCGUUGGAGAGAGAUUUUUUUUUCUUUCACAUGUAUGUUUAUAUUAUUGCAUCAGAUCUUCUGGAUUUAGGAGAGAUAGUUACAGAGAAAGGAGCUACAAAAUGUCAACCUACUCAGGUCAGUUGAAUUAAUUGUUCAAUGUGGCAACAUAGACCUAAAUCCAUCAUAUUUGACAUCAAACCAUUUAAUAUACUUGUCACCUAAUAUAUUAUGUUUCAUUAGAAGUGCCACUACUUGAAUGUCUUAUCUCUGAUAAGCUGUUUAAGAGCAGACAUUUUCUUAUUUUACACAUUUUAUAUUUGUCUCCCAGACAAGAGUCUUUAAAAAUAUUUGUUCAUUAAAGAGUAAAUAAGAAAAAUCAAUUUCUUGAUGGUUCAAAUUAGGACCGCCUAGGUGGCUCAGUCAGUUAAGCAUCUGCCUUAGCUCAGGUCAUGGUCUCCAGGGGGCAGGUUUUGGGAUGGAGGUGCCCUUAAACUUUCUGCUUCUCCUUCUCCUGCUUCCUCUCCCCCAACUCAUGCACAAUCUCUCAAAUAAAUAAAUAAAAUCUUAUUUAUUUUUAUUUUUUUAAGAUUUUAUUUAUUCAUAAGAGGUACACACACACACAAACACACACACACAGAGACACAGGCAGAGGUAGAAGCAGGCUCCAUGCUGGGAGCCUGAUGUGGGACUCGAUCUGGGAUCCCAGGAUCAGGCCGUGGGCUGAAGGCGGCUCGUUGAGCCACCGAGGCUGCCCAUAAAAUAUUUUUUAAAUAAGUGGUUCAAAUUAAACAUAAAUAAGAGAAAAGUCUUAUUUAGCAUAACAAUAAAAAUGAUAAACUCUUUAUACAUUAAAUUUAACAUUAUUUUUUUUAUAAUAUACACAAGAAAACCUCCAGAGAUACACAAAAUAGACUUCAGUAAAAUUUAAAAAGUACCAGAUUUUUGGAUAGAAAGACUCAGUUAUCACAAAAAUGUCAAUUCCCCCCAAAAUGUAUGUAUUUAUAACCUGUUUUAUAUUCUCUCUGAAGAAAGAUUACCACACCGUACCCAUUGCCAGGAGACUUGCAAUGCCUCACUUAGGGAAAGGUUUAAUUCCACACCCAAAUGAGAGAAGCAUGAUUAUUUCAGUCACUUGCUUUAGCCAAAAAGAGUAAGGAAAAUUGGGUUGUUCUAUUUUGCAACAGAAACUUAAAGAGCCUUCUCUUGGUUUCACCAUACAAUUUUCCCUCUGUUUCACAAAUGACAUAGAAAUUCUAUUUCCCUAAAGUAGUUCUAGAAUAAGUAACACAUAGAACAUACCCAAAGCACACAUUGAUGUAUGGGUUUCAUUUGGGGACUGUUAUGGACUAAAUGUUUGUGAUCCCCAAGUUUUAUAUGUCCAAAUCUAAUUCCCAGUAUGAUAUUAUUUAAGGGGGAUAUUUGGGAGAUCAUUAUGUUAUGGGAGUAGAGCCCUCAUAAGUGAAAUUAAUGCCCAUAUAAGAAGAGGCCAGAUAUCUAGCCUCUCUGUGAGGCUAGAAAGAAUUUUCAAUUUGCAAGCAGAAAGUAGUCUCUCACCAGACACCAGACCUGCCGGCACUUUGUACUUAGACUUCCCAGCCGUCAGAAUUGUGAGAAAUAAACAUUUGUUGUUUAAGACAGUUUAUGGUAAUUUGCUCUAGCAGUCUAAUCUAAGACAGAAAGUGGUACUGAGAAGUGGGGUGCUGCUGCAACAAAUACCCCAAAAUCUUAGAACUGGAUAAUGGGUCCAGGCUAGGUGUGUUGAACUAUAUGCUAGAAAAAGCCAAUAUUGCCAUGAACAGAAUUUGAAUGGUGAUUUUGGCUAGGAUGGAGAAAGAUAAGCAGAGAGCUCUAGAAAAUUCCUUCAUCUUCCUAGAGAGGACAAAAUCAUGAACAGAAUGUUGAUAGCAAUAUGGAUGUUAAGGGAGAUUCUAUUAAGAAAAUGAGGAACAUGCUAUUAAAACUAGAAGAUGGGGCACCUGAAUGCCUCAGUCAGUUAAGCAUCUGACUCAUGAUUUCAGUUCAGGUCAUGAUCUGAACUGGUCAUGGGCUCCCCACUCAGCAGGGAGUCACCUUGAAAUUAUCUCUCUUUGCCAUUCCCCCACUUACAUGCAUAUGUUCACUCUCUCUCUCCCUCUCUCUCGCGCUCAAAUAAAUAAAGAAAUCUCUAAAAAAAAAUCUAGAAGGAACACAAUGCUUGUUAGAAAGUGGCAAAUAACUUGAAUGAAUUUUGUCUAUGUUCUGGUGCUUUGUAAAAGGUAGAACUCGUGAGCAAUUAAACUAGAUAUUCAACUGAAAAAAAAAAUUCUAAGCAAAGUAUUGAUGGAACAGCUCAUUUCCUCCUGUCUGCUUACAGUAAAAUGUGAGAAAAGAUAAACUGAAGCAGACUUAUUAAGCAAAAAGGAACUAACACUUAAAUUUGGAGUCUCAGCCUAUCUAUAUGGCAAAAAAUGAGAAAGCAUGUUCAGAAGCAAACAUUAGGAGUCUGGCCCAACAACAAUUUGAUACGGAGAUUAGUGUGGGUGUGAACCAGGAACAUAAUCACAACCCCAGCAAGAAA